GCACUUUUAGUUUAGUAAAAAAUUUUAGGAUGUGGACCUAAGGACAGGUGAAAACCUAAAGUGUA
rnacentral:tRNA from 1 species